AUGAAUUAUAUCUAGAACUUAUAUCAUAACCUCAAUACUUAUCAAUCUCACAUUCUAAUCUGAGUGUUCAUCAUAUUAACAUAAAAUCCACUUAGCACAUAAUAGGGUAAUUACCAAAUCCGUAGUUUUGACAACAAUUCAUCAAAUUUUCUACUAGGGUUUGUUUCUAAACCAAGAUAUAAUCACAAUAACACUCAUAGAUUCAACAUUCAUUCCAGAAUUUUGAUUAUGAUUGUUCAUCGUAAUCUCAAAGUAUCACCAAAUCAUAAAAUUCAACAUACCUUGUAAUCCCCAUGACUAGGUGAUCACGAAUUUGUAAACAUGCAGACGAUUUGGGUUUGAUUUGAGCUUCAAUUUGAGAGAUUUGUUGGAUUUAGGGCUAGAGCUCCAUGGGAGCUUUCUCCUGGCCAUCCUACGCACGCACACACACACUUUGUUAUGAAACACCGGAUCAAUGACGAACAUGAAACAUUGCACUUGAUUCAAGACAUGAAGAACAAAAUAUGAAGAACAAGAUAGAAAUAUGUAGAAGAUGAAUCUCUUUAUUGAUGAAUCAGUCAUCACAGAUUACAAAAACCAAAGGAGUAUACAUCAUCUAGAAGCUGGUUUAGAUCAUAAAGAUCUAAACCCUAGCUUUCUCUCACUAACACAUAGUCUCUCUCUCUAGAAUUCACACCAGGAGGAUGAACGAGUGGGAGAGGUGCACCCAGCUACAAGAGUUGCCCUAAUCUACACAAUACACACAUAUAUAUAGGCUAGG
rnacentral:lncRNA from 1 species